GGACUACACGGGUAUCUAAUCCCGUUCGCUCCCCUAGCUUUCGUCCAUGAGCGUCAGGUGCUCCCCAGGACACUGCCUUCGCCUUUGGUGUUCCUCCGAAUAUCUACGCAUUUCACCACUCCACUCGGAAUUCCGUGUCCCUCUGAAGCCCUCAAGUCAUCCAGUUUUCAAAGCACUUUCCCGGUUAAGCCGGAAACUGUCACUCCAAACUUGGCUGACCGCCUGCGGACCCUUUACGCCCAGUAACUCCGGACAACGCUCGCCCCCUACGUAUUACCGCGGCUGCUGGCAC
rnacentral:rRNA from 1 species